rnacentral:tRNA from 1 species
GCCAAUUUAGCUCAGUUGGUAGAGCAACUGAUUCGUAAUUAGUUGGUCGUAGGUUCGAAUCCUAUAAUUGGCACCA